rnacentral:rRNA from 1 species
CCUACGGGAGGCAGCAGUGGGGAAUAUUGGACAAUGGGCGAAAGCCUGAUCCAGCCAUGCCGCGUGUGUGAAGAAGGCUUUCGGGUUGUAAACCUCUUUCAGCCUCGGCGAAGCCUGCGGAUGUUUCUGUGGGUGACGGUAGGGGCAGAAGAAGCACCGGCCAACUACGUGCCAGCAGCCGCGGUAAUACGUAGGGUGCGAGCGUUGUCCGGAAUUACUGGGCGUAAAGAGCUCGUAGGUGGUUUGUCGCGUUGUUCGUGGAAACUCACAGCUUAACUGUGGGCGUGCGGGCGAUACGGGCAGACUGGAGUACUGUAGGGGAGACUGGAAUUCCUGGUGUAGCGGUGGAAUGCGCAGAUAUCAGGAGGAACACCGGUGGCGAAGGCGGGUCUCUGGGCAGUAACUGACGCUGAGGAGCGAAAGCGUGGGGAGCGAACAGGAUUAGAUACCCUGGUAGUCCACGCCGUAAACGGUGGGUACUAGGUGUGGGUUUCCUUCCUUUAGGGAUCCGUGCCGUAGCUAACGCAUUAAGUACCCCGCCUGGGGAGUACGGCCGCAAGGCUAAAACUCAAAGGAAUUGACGGGGGCCCGCACAAGCGGCGGAGCAUGUGGAUUAAUUCGAUGCAACGCGAAGAACCUUAC